UACGUAGGGGGCGAGCGUUGUCCGGAUUUACUGGGCGUAAAGGGUGAGUAGGCGGUUAUAUAAGUCAGAUGUAAAAGGCUAUGGCUCAACUAUAGUAAGCAUUUGAAACUGUAUGACUUGAGUGCAGGAGAGGUAAGUGGAAUUCCUAGUGUAGCGGUGAAAUGCGUAGAUAUUAGGAGGAACACCAGUGGCGAAGGCGACUUACUGGACUGUAACUGACGCUGAGUCACGAAAGCGUGGGUAGCAAACAGG
rnacentral:rRNA from 1 species